ACGGGUGAGUAACACGUGGGUAACCUGCCUCAUAGAGGGGAAUAGCCUUCCGAAAGGAAGAUUAAUACCGCAUAAGAUUGUAGUGCCGCAUGGUACAGCAAUUAAAGGAGUAAUCCGCUAUGAGAUGGACCCGCGUCGCAUUAGCUAGUUGGUGAGGUAACGGCUCACCAAGGCGACGAUGCGUAGCCGACCUGAGAGGGUGAUCGGCCACAUUGGGACUGAGACACGGCCCAGACUCCUACGGGAGGCAGCAGUGGGGAAUAUUGCACAAUGGGGGAAACCCUGAUGCAGCAACGCCGCGUGAGUGAUGACGGUCUUCGGAUUGUAAAGCUCUGUCUUCAGGGACGAUAAUGACGGUACCUGAGGAGGAAGCCACGGCUAACUACGUGCCAGCAGCCGCGGUAAUACGUAGGUGGCAAGCGUUGUCCGGAUUUACUGGGCGUAAAGGGAGCGUAGGUGGAUAUUUAAGUGGGAUGUGAAAUACUCGGGCUUAACCUGGGUGCUGCAUUCCAAACUGGAUAUCUAGAGUGCAGGAGAGGAAAGUAGAAUUCCUAGU
rnacentral:rRNA from 1 species